AGGAACCGUAUGCAGUAGUUUCGCACGUACGGAUCUGUGCGGGGAGGGGGCAGCCUACCUACCGUGAC
rnacentral:autocatalytically_spliced_intron from 1 species